GGUCAGUGUGUUUUUUAUUUGCAUUAGAAAAAUUUUAAGAGGAGAGAUGCUCUUUCAAAAAUACUUCAAAAGAAGAUCAAGAGAUUAGAGUAGGGGAUAAAUAUAGACAUAGAUGUAAGAAGUGCUGCAGUAGACAGGAGACAUUUUGUUCUUAGUUCCUUUACUUAUGUUUAUAUUUCGUUUAUUUAUUCAGAUGUUCAACAAAUAAGAAUUGACUGUGUGUGUAUUUGUUCAAAGUAAUGGUGGAACACAAACCAAGAACUAGACUUAGUGGGUUCAAAAACACAUACUACUUUUGUGCCCCAAGGCUCAAACUAAGGCUCAAUUUCUCUGCCUCAGUUUCCUCAUCUAUAAAACACAGAGUAAUAAGAGUACCUAAGUGUGGGGUUGUAGGGAGGAUCAAAUAAAUUUAGUAAGCAGUUAGAAUGCUCAGCACAUAGAGAGCAAGCAGUGUUUGCUAAAUAAGUAAUAUAAACAUGCCAGCCUCUGUGCUAGCUUUUAGGAUGAACAAAAUAAAUGGAAGAGUGCAUUACACUAGAAAAAGCUUCAAAAAGCAUGGAUGGACCUAACUGAAGUGCUGCAAAUGAAAUGAAUGAGGGGCAUAGUUGGAGAUGAAGGGUGUGUAACUGGGAGGCCCUAUCUUAGAUAAUGUGGGGAAGAGAUGCCUCUAAUGAGGCGGCAUUUAACCUGAACACUAAAGAAUAAAUAAGUGAUGGAGGAACAUCACGGCUGAGAGAUGUUGUUUCUUGAUAAAUCAGGUUGUUUUACCGUUUACGAUGAUGAGUCAA
rnacentral:lncRNA from 1 species